CAGCCGCCGCGGGAAUACGAAGGGGGCUAGCGUUACUCGGAAUUACUGGGCGUAAAGCGUGCGUAGGAGGUGGUUUAAGUCCGUUGUGAAAGCCCUGGGCUCAACCUGGGAAUUGCAGUGGAUACUGGAUCACUAGAGUGUGGUAGAGGAUAGUGGAAUUUCCGGUGUAGCAGUGAAAUGCGUAGAGAUCGGAAGGAACAUCUGUGGCGAAGGCGACUAUCUGGGCCAACACUGACACUGAGGCACGAAAGCGUGGGGAGCAAACAGGAUUAGAUACCCGAGUAGUCCCUGUCUCUUAUAC
rnacentral:rRNA from 1 species